ACACAGUCAAAGGCUUGUGAGAAUCUGGUGGAUGCUGGACCUUGCUGCUGCUGCUACUGCUGUUUCCAGGGGCUGCAGAGCAUGGACUGUUAAAUCUUGCACUUCUUCUGAGUGAGCCACACUGGCCACUGCCAUCCAAAAGAGAAUUCUAAAAGGAAACAGUACAAAACAGAACAUCAAAACAAAACAGACAAACAACCUGGGAACCAUUAGGUUUUACACCAGAGUGAAACCCCAGAAGAGACAUUCUGCAGCUGGUGAACAGCCGGCCUCAUUUGUGAGCAAUCUGUUCCCAUCAGUGUCAGGGAUUCCAGAAGAAAAAGAACUCAAAUGAAAUUGAGGAUUUGAACUUCACACAGCUGUUUGAAGU
rnacentral:sRNA from 1 species